rnacentral:rRNA from 1 species
GCGAAUGGCUCAUUAAAUCAGUUAUCGUAUAUUUGAUAGUACCUACUACAUGGAUAACCGUGGUAAUUCUAGAGCUAAUACAUGCUUAAAAUCCCGACUUCGGAAGGGAUGUAUUUAUUAGAUUAAAAACCAAUGCCCUUCGGGGCUCACUGGUGAUUCAUAAUAACUUCUCGAAUCGCAUGGCCUUGUGCCGGCGAUGGUUCAUUCAAAUUUCUGCCCUAUCAACUUUCGACGGCUGGGUCUUGGCCAGCCGUGGUUACAACGGGUAACGGAGGGUUAGGGCUUGACCCCGGAGAAGGAGCCUGAGAAACGGCUACUACAUCCAAGGAAGGCAGCAGGCGCGCAAAUUACCCAAUCCCGACUCGGGGAGGUAGUGACAAUAAAUACUGAUACAGGGCUCUUUUGGGUCUUGUAAUUGGAAUGAGUACAAUUUAAAUCCCUUAACGAGGAACAAUUGGAGGGCAAGUCUGGUGCCAGCAGCCGCGGUAAUUCCAGCUCCAAUAGCGUAUAUUAAAGUUGUUGCAGUUAAAAAGCUCGUAGUUGAACCUUGGGCCUGGCUGGCCGGUCUGCCUCACCGCAUGCACUGGUCCGGCCGGGCCUUUCCCUCUGGGGAGCCGCAUGCCCUUCACUGGGUGUGUCGGGGAACCAGGACUUUUACUGUGAAAAAAUUAGAGUGUUCAAAGCAGGCAUAUGCUCGAAUACAUUAGCAUGGAAUAAUAGAAUAGGACGUCGCGGUUCUAUUUUGUUGGUUUCUAGGACCGCCGUAAUGAUUAAUAGGGACAGUCGGGGGCAUCAGUAUUCAAUCGUCAGAGGUGAAAUUCUUGGAUCGAUUGAAGACUAACUACUGCGAAAGCAUUUGCCAAGGAUGUUUUCAUUAAUCAGGAACGAAAGUUAGGGGAUCGAAAACGAUCAGAUACCGUUGUAGUCUUAACCAUAAACUAUGCCGACUAGGGAUCGGGCGGUGUUAUUUCUUGACCC